UUGGAAAUGAUGCUGUUAACUUGGUAGCUA
rnacentral:piRNA from 1 species